CUCUGAGAAUCAAACCCAGUGCUUCACAUGUGAUAGGCAAGCACUCUACCUUUGAGCUACAACCCCAGCCCUGAAAAACUUUUCUCCUCAUUAAAAUUCUUCCUCCCAGGACCUGCCAGGUAUGGUCUUACGUUGCCAUGGCAACUAGCCUGGCCUUUGUCCCAAUCUACUUGAUGAAACAUUAUCUUCAGGAUUCUCCAGAUUCAGUCACUAAUUUUUGUUUCCCCCCAAAAAGUAGUUUCAAAGGGCUAUGUUUUUCCAGAUGGGCCCAACCUCCUUUCAGUCUAGGAAGAAGGGGCCUAUUCUAAUUCACUUAGGUUAUGCCAGAGGUGGCCCUCAGGAGUAUAGAGACUUAUAAUUCUCUACUACUGCUAUGCUUGAAACUCAGUUGACAUUCAUACAUGCAAAUUCAUCUUCUUUCUGGCUUGGUCCAAAUUUCUCACAAAUCCAUAGAAGUCAUUUGAAGACACUUAGUACACAAUUUCUAGACAACCAUGCCCUGGAAUGAUCCACGCACUCCCACCAUCCUGGUCUCCCACCUCCAGCAAACCCAUUAUGAUGUGAAGACAUUUCUGUGACACACUGGAUAAUCUUGGAUUGCAACACCAGAAAAAUAUGGAAACAAGGCUCUCAGACUUUGUCAGGUAAACGGAAACUACCUGGUUAUACUCCCUCAUCAUGAAGCCCCUGCAACAGAAUGGGGGAAAAUAUUCUCAGCUUCUUCCAAAUAAGACACUUGUAGCUGUAAAUAACAAGUUCAAUUUCUGCCCCAGUAGGCUUUAUAUGCUUAUGUGUGGAACAUAAAAUAAGCUUUGAGGUGUUGGAGUCAUUAUUCUGCUAAUCUGGC
rnacentral:lncRNA from 1 species